rnacentral:rRNA from 1 species
AUUGAACGCUGGCGGCAGGCCUAACACAUGCAAGUCGAGCGUGCGGCGGACGGGUGAGUAAUGUAUGGGGACUGCCCGAUAGAGGGGGAUAACUACUGGACACGGUGGCUAAUACCGCAUACUAUCGGAUAACCCAUAUGGGAUUAGCUAGUAGGUGGGGUAAAGGCUCACCUAGGCGACGAGCUCUAGCUGGUCUGAGAGGAUGAUCAGCCACACUGGGACUUGGCAACGGACCAGACUCCGACGGAGGCAGCAGUGGGGAAUAUUGCACAAUGGGCGCAAGCCUGAUGCAGCCAUGCCGCGUGUAUGAAGAAGGCCUGAGGGUUGUAAAGUACUUUCAGCGGGGAGGCGUUACCCGCAGAAGAAGCACCGGCUAACUCCGUGCCAGCAGCCGCGGUAAUUC